AGUACAUAGGAGAGAAAAAGCUAGAAAUAUGAAUGAUUCUCAAAAGCUCUAGCUCAUUCACAAUGUUUUUAAACCGAAUAGAUCCUACCCAUUUCCUAAAUCAGCUGAUGGUCGAUCUUUUCUUUAUUCGUGGCUGGAAGAUUAUUCUUGGUUGUGUUACUCCCUUCUUUGGAUGGUGCUUUUUGUCUGCCUUGUGUUUUGUUUGGUGAUCAGUUUCCGAAUAAAAAUACAAAAAUUAAAAAACUUUUUAGUGAACCAAUGACAUAUUGGCCUGAUGCUAAAGCUUGCUUCAAACGCCAUAUUGGUUUGAGUUCUAAGGCUCUCACCAGAGCAGGUUUGCACGAAAGCACACAUAAUAAAUAUUUGUCAUUAGUUGGUCAGGCAUCAGGAGAAGGACUGCAGAUUGAGGUGUUGAUUGAUGAGCACAAACAGCAAGUCAUCAGGCAAAA